UUUUUUUUUUUUUCUCUAAAUUUCUAGGAUUCUCAUGAUUUGAAUAUUGAUGAACUCUUUGACUUGAACAUUUUGUUUCUUCUAAUUGUUCAUCUUUUCCUGAUAAUUAUAAGGUACACCAGCAGGACGGAAUCAACUGUGCCCUUUAUAAAAGGUGGAUUUUUGAAACCAUAGAACCUUGUUUUAUUUUAGUCAAACGUGACCCUAGACUUCUCUCUUCUGACUUCUCCCUCCUCCUCUAAAACAGCCCGUGAAAAGAAAAGUUAACUUUUAAAUGUUCUUCUAAUUCUGUUCGGUUGGCUUGUUCUUGUUCCUCAUAGACAAAAAUUGGAGUCCUCCAAAGGAGAAUUCGGGAUGUUAGAAGUGGGAUGGGGUGAGAACUGG
rnacentral:lncRNA from 1 species